UACGUAGGGGGCAAGCGUUGUCCGGAAUUAUUGGGCGUAAAGAGCGUGUAGGCGGUCCGGUAAGUCCGCUGUGAAAGUCGGGGGGCUCAACCCUCGAAUGCCGGUGGAUACUGUCGGGCUAGAGUGCGGAAGAGGCGAGUGGAAUUCCUGGUGUAGCGGUGAAAUGCGCAGAUAUCAGGAGGAACACCAAUUGCGAAGGCAGCUCGCUGGGACGUUACUGACGCUGGAGACGCGAAAGCGUGGGGAGCAAACAGG
rnacentral:rRNA from 1 species